AUGGCACUGAUGGGUACACCAGUUUCACGAGUCAAUACCAUACAUAUUAGCUCGGCGAUUCUUGCUGCACAAAGUCCUUUUUUUCUCAAGCUUUUCUCAGAUGGCAUGAAAGAGUCUGACCAGAGACAUGCAACAGUUACAAUUGUUGAUUCAGAGGAAAAGGCCUUCAUUGAGCUUUUACGCUUUAUGUAUUGUGGAAAGUUGACACCAACAACCGAGCCCACUCUUCUGGUCGAUAUUUUGAUGGCUGCUGAUAAAUUUGAGGUUGUAUCUUGCAUGAAGCUCUGCGCUCAGCGGCUCAUAGACCAGCCUAUGACGCCAGAGUCGGCAGUGAGGUGCCUAGAUCUCCCACGUUCCAUCUCAAUGGCAUCUGCCGUCAAAGAGGCAGCCAAGACAUUCCUUGCUGAAAGGUACAAGGAAUUCCUGUCGACAAAGUUCCAAGAUGAACUGAUGAGGGUCCCUCUCGCUGGGAUUCUGGCCAUCUUAUCAAGGAAUCGCCUCGGGAUGGAAUCUGAAGGACCCAUCUACGAUUUCCUGCUCAGGUGGGCCUGUUUGCAGUACCCAAAUUCAGAAGAGAGACACCAGAUCUUGAGUUCGCGGUUACUUCCACUGGUGCCACGAGCUCUCAGUAUGACCGAUGCCGUACUAAUUGAUCACCCGUCUUGUAUAAUCAACUUCACCAUAAAGCGCGAGAAGUGCUUGGGGCUCUUUGUGUCAGGAGUUCUGCGUUCGCAGCCGUUCCAUUGCGCGGGGCGUGGCUUCCUCCUCCUGGCAGACCGCAGGAUGAUAGAGCAAGUACCAUAUUUUGGCAUCUCAAUAAAGAUGCUAGAAGAAGACAAGGAGGCAGUAAGCGGGGCAAUAGAUUAUAUCAUCGGGUUUAAGACCAGACCGUCACUCAAGUUCAUCACCAAGCACUGUCGCGCCACCACCAGCAAUAUUAGGCGAGGUGUUGGAUGCAUGAUUCCUUGGUCGAAGUUCAUUGCUGACGACAGCCACUUCAUUGACGGCAAAGUCCAUCUGCGGGUUCAGGUGAAGGUAACGCCGCAGCCAUAG
rnacentral:rRNA from 1 species